rnacentral:rRNA from 1 species
CCGACGGGUGAGUAACACGUAUGCAAUCCACCUGUAACGAGGGGGAGUAACCCGGAGAAAUCCGACUAAUACCCAUAAUAUGGGCGCUCCGCAUGGAGAGUCCAUUAAAGAGAGCAAUCUUGGUUACAGACGAGCAUGCGCUCCAUUAGCCAGUUGGCGGGGUAACGGCCCACCAAGGCGACGAUGGAUAGGGGUUCUGAGAGGAAGGUCCCCCACAUUGGAACUGAGACACGGUCCAA